rnacentral:rRNA from 1 species
UACCAGCACCCCGAGUGGUCGGGACGWUUAUUGGGCCUAAAGCAUCCGUAGCCGGUUCUACAAGUCUUCCGUUAAAUCCACCUGCUUAACAGAUGGGCUGCGGAAGAUACUAUARARCUAGGAGGCGGGAGAGGCAAGCGGUACUCRAUGGGUAGGGGUAAAAUCCGUUGAUCCAUUGAAGACCACCAGUGGCGAAGGCGGCUUGCCAGAAYGCGCUCGACGGUGAGGGAUGAAAGCUGGGGGAGCAAACCGGAUUAGAUACCCGGGUAGUCCCAGCUGUAAACGAUGCAGACUCGGUGAUGARUUGGCUUHUUGCUAAUUCAGUGCCGCAGGGAAGCCGUUAAGUYUGCCGCCUGGGGAGUACGGUCGCAAGACUGAAACUUAA